UUUUUUUUUUUUUUUUUUUUUUUUUUUUUUUGAGACAGAGUCUCAUUUACUCUGUCACCCAGGCUGGAGUCUGGAGUGCAGUCGUGUGAUCUUGGCUCACUGCAACCUUCUCCUCCUGGGUUCAAGCGAUUGUCCUUCCUCAGCUGCCUGAGUAGCUGGGACUACAGGUGUGCAUCACCACACCAGGCUAAUUUUUAUAUUUUUAGUAGAGACGGGGUUUCACCAUAUUGUCCAGGCUGGUCUCAAACUCCUGACCUCAAGUGAUCCACCCACCUUGGCCUCCCAAAGUGCUGGGAUUACAGGCGUGAGGCAUCGCACCUAUCCUUAACUGUAAUCUUAAAGAGAGAAACCAGGAAAGACAAUUCUCAAACGGAACUUAAACUCUCAUCCCCUCCAUGGGUUUGUCAGUGUGGCCAGUACAAAGGGUGGUUGGUCAGUCAGAGCCAGUACGAAGGUGAUUAGUCAAAACGAUUUUCUGAGUGAUUGUCUGAGAGAAUGACCAAGCCACCUCCAAGGCUACGAUCCUACUUGGGGAUCAAGAGUUAAGCGCCAUGGAAGCCCAAGCUGCAGUGUGCACUGUUUGCCAUGUCUACGGGAGCAGGCACCAUUCAUAUAUGUGUUAAAAGCAAGCUGGUCACUGUGCUAAAGCUGACGGCUCUCGUGUUUGAGGAACACAUAUCUCAUGACUUACACAAGUGGAAAAAAAAAAGAAAAAA
rnacentral:lncRNA from 1 species